rnacentral:rRNA from 1 species
UACGUAGGGUGCGAGCGUUGCCCGGAUUUAUUGGGCGUAAAGAGCUCGUAGGCGGCUCGUCGCGUCGACCGUGAAAACCCGCGGCUUAACUGCGGGCUUGCGGUUGAUACGGGCGGGCUAGAGUUCGGUAGGGGAGACUGGAACUCCUGGUGUAGCGGUGAAAUGCGCAGAUAUCAGGAGGAACACCGGUGGCGAAGGCGGGUCUCUGGGCCGAUACUGACGCUGAGGAGCGAAAGCGUGGGGAGCGAACAGG